ACUCGCGGCCCCUAACCUGCCCCGGGAGCCCGGGAGUGCGGCUUGGGAAGGAGGGAAAGGAGUGUGUGAGCAGGGAUUGGCCCGAACCUAUCUCCACGCUCUCCCCCGGGACUGGAGGUGAAGGGGGGCGUGGAGAAAAUCUCAGGGAACAGGGGCUUCGACAGGGGGCUCCCGCCCGCCCGAGCCCCCUCCCCAAAAUGCGAGGCCUGCACAGUAUGCCUUCUCCGCAAAACCUCGGCAAGCGGGUUAGUGAAUUCAGGUCACUAAGAAGCUGAGCCCGCGGAAAGCUGCCCAAACACCCCCUUCUCUAGGGGACUCCCCACGCCCCCCGCCGGGACGCGUUCCCGAAGUCGCCGCCUGGACUGCAACCGCGUGGCCUGCGCCGCGUCCUCUUCUCCGCAGCCUCCGAGGCCCGUGCGACCAAGCUGAAACCGCUUAUUCUCCGGAGCCCCUAUGACCCCGGGUGGGGGCCAGGGCUCGCCUCGAUCGCAGCCCGUGCGCCCUCCGGACUCCAGUUCGCCGGGACUGGGCGACACCAGAAGCGGCUAGUGUGAGUGAAACAAACGGGAAAUUUGCUCUGGCCCGCCUGCCCAGCCACCCACGGCUGCCUGUUGGCCAAUCACCAUUUGACCAGUCCAGGAAGAGCAACUGUGGCAGGCCUGAUUUCCUGGGAGGCCCCAGACUCCCUUUGCCUACCUCUUCCUCUCUGACCCCAUCCUCGCUUUGAUGCCCGGGACCUGCUACCCAGGUACGUGGGUCUUCUCUGCCGGAUGUGGACAUCUUGGCCUCUCGCCUUGGUGCCUACUCUUGGGAAGCGGGUCCAGACAUCUCUCCUGCAGGAAGAGAGGAAGGGUUAAUUACAGGCGUUGGGGAUAAUUAAAGCCUUUGACCAAGAGGAUGGGAGGAGAGCCUUGGUCCUCUGAGAGCCUGUGAGUGUGCAAGUGCCUGUGAGAAUAAGUGCAUGUGUAUGAGGGUGUGAGAUUUUGUUGAAUGUGCAUUCGUGUGUAUAGACAUGAGAGUGUUGAUGUAUGUAUGACUGUGUGUGAGUGUGUGUAUGGACAUAAGUGUUGUAUGUGACUGGGCAGGGUGGCUCAGGCCUGUAAUUCCAGCACUUUGGGAGGCCGAGGCAGGCAGAUCAUUUGAGGUCAGGAGCUCCAGACAUGCCUGGCCAACAUGGUGAAACCCCGUCUCUACUAAAAAUACAAAAAAAUUAGCUGGGCGUGGUGCCACUCACCUGUAAUCCCAUCUACUAAGGAGGCUAAGGCAGGAGAAUCACUUGAACCCCAGAGGCAGAGAUUGCAGUGAGCCGAGAUUGCGCCACUCACUGCACUCCAGCCUGGGCCAGCAAGACUCUGUCUCAAAAAAAAAAAGAAAAAAGUGUUGGUAUAUGUGUGUAUAAGUGUGUGUGCAUGGGCAUGAGAGGAUUUGGGUAUGAGUGUGUGUCUGUGUGUGUUUUUGUGGAUUGUGUGGAUGUGUCUAGAUGUGUGUAUGAGUGUGCAUGUGGGUGUGAGAGAUUUGUGUAUGAGUGCAUGUGAGUGUGGAUUUGUGUAUGCAUGUAUUUGUGAGUGUGCCAUACUUCACAGUAGAUGUGGAGUCAGCCCAUGAGUUUCUGAACAAGUUAUUUCACUUUUCUGAGCCUCAGUUUGCUCCUGGAAAGAUGUAAAGCCUAUUUAGGAGAGUUACUGUAAAGAUCAAAUAAAGUCAUGCAUGUAAACCACAGGGGCCAGGACUACAGAAAGCACGCAUGAAAUCUCAGCUGUUACUGGGUUACAUGCGGUUCAGCAACAGGAAGCCACAUCCGUGGAGAGCAGGGCAUGUGUUGUGCCCAGGGCUCUGUGGACAGGCACAUGGGGUGUGUGGAUGAGUGUGAGCAUGUGUGUAGUACGUGGUUUGGAUAAGUGUUUUGCAUGUUGUAUUGGAGCCUCUGGGCUAGGGACACUGGCGUGUGUAAGACUCCAUGUGAGUUGUGUGGAAGCCACUGCUUGUACAUGUGUGUUACAUGCCACUUGCAGGCUCCAUCUGUCAGAUGUGUCACUAGAGGACACACUGCAGGAGGACAGGGAUGUUUGUAGAAAACAGACAGUGCCUGGGCCAGGCGCGGUGGCUCACGCCUGUAAUCCCAGCACUUUGGGAGGCCGAGGCAGAUAGAUCACUUGAGGUCAGGAGUUUGAGACCAAGCUUGUCAUCAUGGUGAAACCCCGUCUCUACUAAAAAUACAAAAAUUAGCCGGGCGUGGUGGCGCAUGCCCGUAAUCCCAGCUGCUCGAGUUGGAGGCAGGAAAGUCGCUUGAACCCAGGAGGUGGAGGUUGCAGUGAGCCGAGACCGCGGCACUGCACUCCAGCCUGGGUGACAGAGCGAGAGCCAAAAACAAAAAAAGAAAACAGACAGUGCCUGAUACAUACUAGAUAUUCAGCAAGCCUCCGCUGAAUGAAUGAACUAAUGAGUGAAUGACAGUGUUGCGAGUUCUGUGUUGCGUGAAAGUCUCUGUGUGUAGUGUUGGUUGGUCCUUCUGGUGGCAAGUGUGGGUUUCCAUGUGUGGCCUCAAAAGGUUGAAUCCAAGCACACACACGGCAGGGGUGCAGGCAGGCCCUGAUGGCUGUGGGGCGUGUGCCCAGCAGUAUGUGCACAAGUUGGGGGCUGAGAGCAUAGGGCAGGGUGUUGCUCAUCUGCAGCAUGUGACGUGAACAGAGGCCUAUGGAAAGGAGUGGUAUGUCAGGUGGUGGCAAGAGGGUGUUCCACCUGGCUUUUCCCUGGCUUUUAGUCACCCAUUUAAUGACACACCCUUCCCUCUUUUCCUGUCCGACUCAGAGUCUUUCCCGCUCUAGGUGACUGGGUGCUAAGGAGGAAAGUUCUUCAGUGAGUCUUAUAAAGCGGCACCAAAACGCGGUAUUUAUAGUGACAUAAUCAGCCCUAAUGGAGAUGGAAUUACCCCAUAAAGGCCCCAAGGAGCCCUCAGGGCCUCAGCGCCACUGCAGCAGACAAGGCUCCUGUACAGGCAGGUGGAGCCCGAGUGAGUGUGUGUUUGUGUGUGACUGCCUCUCCUGCCAAUCCCUGCCUCCGGCCCACCAGCCUGCUUAGGGGCCCACCUUUGCUAGGACUUAGCUGGGGCUGGGUACUGGGGGCAAGGAGAUGACAAAGGUGAAUGCUGAAGCCAUGGCCUCACUUACCCCACCUUUGAUCUGUGCCUGCCUUUGGCCAAGAGCAUCAGAAAAAAAAUAAUGCGGCCUGGGCAAUACAGUGAGACCCCAUCUCUACAAAAGAAAAAAGAAAAAAAAUUAGCUGGGCAUGGUGGUGAGCACCCGUGGCCUCAGCUACUCGGGCGGCUGAGGAAGGAGGAUUGCUUGAGCCUAGGAGGUCAAGGCUGCAAUGAGCCGUGAUUGCACCACUGCACUCCAGCCUAGGCAACCAAGUGAGACCCUGUUUCAAAACAAAAUUUUUUUAAAAAAAGAAAAGCAAAGAAAAAAACUGUAGCCAAUACUUAUGAAGCACUACUAUGUGCCGGGCCCAGUUCUAGGCACUUAUCUGUACUGAUCCACUUAGUUCUCAUGACACCUUCAGGGAGGUGGCCACUGCUCCUGCCCACAUUUUGCAGAAGAGCAAAUUUGGAAGUAAAAUUUGGAGCUGGCAUUCUGGCCCAGACAGGCUAGAUCCAGCGCGCACUCUCAUGGGUACCUGCCUCAACCAUUGCCUCUGAAUUCCACUGAACCUGGAGAGCAGUGCCCCGUCCUGGAAUGUGCCAACUCUCCGCAGCUGGGAUCUUUAAGGUCAGUCUAAUUACUACCUCUUGGGUGAAACCCCCAGGGAUCAGGCCCCCCCUAGAGCCCCAGGGGCCUCCAUGCUACAUGCCUACCAGCACCCUGCUCUCAACCAACUGAACUCUUUUUUGUUUUUCAAAGCCUCUGAACUAUCUUCUCAACUAGACUGUAAAUCCCUCAGAGGCAGGGUAUGAAUCCAGCAACAGGUAGAACAGUUCCCCACACAUUCUGCUCAAUAGAUGCUAAUUUUUUUUUUUUUUUUUUUUUUGAGACAGAGUCUUGCUCUGUCCCCCAGGCUGGAGUGCAGUGGCGCAAUCUCAGCUCACUGCAACCUCCACCUCCCGGGUUCAAGUGAUUCUCCUGCCUCAGCCUCCUGAGUAUCUGGGAUUACAGGUGCACGCCACCACACCUGGCUAAUUUUUGUAUUUUUAGUAGAGACAGGGUUUCACCAUGUUGGUCAGGCUGGUCUUGAACUCCUGACCUCAUGAUCCGCCCUCCUCGGCCUCCUAAAGUGCUGGGAUUACAGGCGUAAGCCACUGUGCUUGGCCUUAGAUGCUCACAUUUGAUGGUGACAUUCUAAAUUAGUUUCCUCCAUUCAUUUCCUUUUUUUUUAGACGGAGUCUUGCUCUGUCACCGAGGCUGGAAUGCAGUGGCGCAACCUCGGCUCACUGCAACCUCCACCUCCCGGGUUCAAGGGAUUCUCCUGCCUCAGCUUCCCUAGUUGCUGGGAUUACAGGCACACACCACCAUGCACAGUUCAUUUUUGUAUUUUUUAGUGGAGAUGGGGUUUCACCACGUUGGCCAGGCUGGUCUUGAACCUCUGACCUCAAGUGAUCCUCCCACCUCGGCCUCCCAAAGUGCUGGGAUUACAGGCGUGAGCCAGCACGCCCAGCCCCCUCCAUUCAUUUCUUUUUUUUAUUUUUUAUUUAUUUAUUUUUUAGACAGAGUCUCCUUCUGUUGCCAGGCUGGAGUGCAGAGGUUCGAUCUCGGCUCACUGCAACCUCCACCUCCUGGGUUCAAGUGAUUCUCCUGCCUCAGCCUCCCGAGUAGCUGGGACUACAGGCACGCGGCACCACGCCCAGAUUUUUGUAUUUUUAGUAGAGACGGGGUUUCAGCAUGUUAGCCAGGAUGGUCUCCAUCACCCUCCCAAAGUGCUGGGAUUACAGGCGUGAGCCACCACACCCAGACCCCUCUGUUCAUUUCAAUCCACAUUUCUUGAAGGCCUGCUCUAUGCCAGGCCACUUCACCUCUGUAAACUCAUUUAAUCCUCUCUAGCCCUGGAAGGAAAAGCUAAUAUUGCCUCCAUUUUUGCAGAAACAACGUGAGGCUCAGAGAGAAGAAAUGACUAAAAUUACACAGCUGGUACAUGGCAGAGGUGGAACUAAAAAGUUAAGUGUGUCUACCCCAGAGCCGAGUAGACCUGCUCUUUUUUGAACACUUCCUGGACUUUCAUGCCUUUGUCCCAGCUGUGCCCUCUCCCUGGAUGCCCCUUCCAUCUGGGCAGCUCCUACUAGACCUGCCUUGGCAUACAUAACACAGGAGAACGGAUUGCCAAAGGGUAGGAGAGUGCCUGGUCUAUAGUGUGCGCCCAACACAGAUUUGGUGAAUGAAUGAACACUGGGUCCAGCAGACCUGGAUUCUUCCAUGUAACCCACUGUGUGGCCUUGGUGGAGCCAUGCGGGUGCAAUAAUCCUGGUUUCCACCCUUCAGGGCUGCUGCUGGGACUCAGUGAGAUCAUCAUGUAUCUAAUGCCCUUUGCUCAGUGCUGGGCACACAGUCAAUGCGCAUUGAAUCUUAGCUAUUGCUACCUUUACAAUCAAUCAAAAGUCACUUCUGAAGAAUAGACAGGGCUCCCCCAGGCCAAAUAAAUAAUUCCUCCCGGGACAAACCCCAGCUCUCACUCCCUCCUCUUUAGGCAGGGGGCUCCCUGAAGGACAGAGACCCGGUUUUAUUCCAUCUUGCCGUCCCCCAUGGUGCCGGGCAUACAGUGGUGCCCAGUAAACGUGUGUGUUGCACAAACAUGCGGUAACUAGGGCCCCAUCUUUUUCAAAAGAACACACUCCCCAGGUGCAGCCGCAAAGAGAGACUGUUCAGCUGUUCAGGUGAGGUUUUGGGGUGAAACUCGUCUGAAUAAUAGUUUUACUGAACACAGCCUCACCCCCAACAAGGAGGCAAUUUGAGGUGGGGGUGGGGAGACUUAAAUGUGGGCUCCCGGGUUUUAAAGGGGGUAGCGCGGGAGGAAGCCCCCCAAUAAUUGCGGGGCUUCCCCCACCCCCAGAGCUGGAUUAGAGGCUGCGCCACUUCCUUUGGGGCUCGCUCGCGCUUCCUGGGAGCCUUUGAUGUGGGUUCUUGGUAGAUCCUGCCCGCGGGGCCUGGAUGCGGGCGGAGCCUCCGGGCAGGGCGGGGCCUCAGCCUGGGUCCGCACUGGGGAGGCGGCCACCCGGUAGCUUGGGCGGGUUCCGCCCACCUCCCGCCUGUAUUUACAGCCCCCUUCCAACAUCCCCGACUCCCUGAGGGCGCCCCUCAUUCUGCUCGGCCUUGCCUUCCCCAUUCGGCCACAUCCUCCUCUCUCCCAACUCAGCUUCGACCCCCAAAGCCUUUCCCUAACCAUCGGAACCACAGGCUUUUCUCCGGCCUCUGAGUGCCAGUCUUCAACUAGGUGUCUUUUAAAAAAUCAAAAAGCAUCUCAUCCUACGGGAUGUGUGUGAAAAAAUAAAAAUAAAAUAAAGAAAAAGGGGGCCGGGCGCGGGAGCUCACGCCUGUAAUCCCAGCACUUUGGGAGGCCUAGGCGGGCGGAUCACCUGCAGUCAGGAGUUCGAGACCAGCUUGACCAAACUAGAGAAACUCCGUCUCUACUGAAAAUACGAAAUUAGCCGCGCAUGGUGGCGCAUGUCUGUAAUCCUAGCUACUCUGGAGGCUGAGGCAGGGGAAUCUCUUGAACCUGGGAGGUGGAGGUUGCAGUGAGCCGAGAUAGCGUCAUUGCACUCUUGCCUGGGCAAUAACAAGAGCGAAGCUCCAUCUCCAAAAAAAAAAAAAGAAGAAAGAAAAAAAGAAAAAGAUAGCCCAUCGCUCCUCCAUUGCAGACCCAAAGGCUGUCAGCUGAAUGGAAGGUGCUUCCUCACGACCUUUGGGAUAAGUAAAUUUGAAGUAAUAGAAAUAGCCAGCUGGGCGCGGUGGCUCAUGCCUGUAAUCCCAGCACUUUGGGAGGCUGAGGGGGGCAGAUCACCUGAAGUUAGGAGCUCGAGACCAGUCUGGCCAACAUGGUGAAACCCCGUCUCUACUAAAAAUAAUUAGCCAGGCGAGGUGGCGUGCACCUGUAAUCCCAGCUACUCAAGGAGGCUGAGGCAGGAGAAUAGCUUGAACCCGGGAGGCAGAGUUUGCAGUGAGCUGAGAUCGCGCCAUUGCACUCCAGUGAGCCGAGAUCGCACCAUUGCACUCCAGCCUGGGCAACAAGAGCGAAACUCCAUCUCAAAAAAAAAAUUUUUUUUGAAAAAUAGGCCAGGCCUGCCUCAGUGCUCUUACACGUACUGUCCCCUCUGCCUGGAUCAGUUUGUGCCCCUGCCCCCAAAUUUUCAGGGCUGGCUCCCUCGCCUCCUUCAGAUCUCUGUUUGAAGUUCAGCUCAUGUCUGCCACAUGUCCUAACCACCGUAUUUAAAAUAGCAGCCUCAGGCCAGGUGCGGUGGCUCACGUCUGUAAUCCCAGCACUUUGGGAGGCCAAAGCAGGCAGAUCACCUGAGGUUGGGAGUUCGAGACCAGCCUGACCAACGUGGAGAAACCACAUCUCUACUAAAAAUACAAAAUUAGCCGGGCGUGGUGGAGCAUGCCUGUAAUCCCAGCGACUCUGUCUCAAAAUAAAAUAAAAUAAAAUAAAUAAAAUAAAAUAAAAUAAAAUAAAAUAAAAUAUAAAAUAAAAUAAAAUAAAAUAAAAUAUAGCAGCCUCUCACCCCACUCCACCUCUGGACUCCCUGUCCCCCUUCCUUGCUGUAUUUUUCUCCAUAGCAAUUACCACCACCAGCUGCCACACUCCAGAGAUUACCGUUCGUUUGUCUAUUGUCUGUCUCCCCCUGCUCACACCACCCCCAUUCGUGUGUGAGCUCCAGGAGAAGGGCCGGGGUUGCUGCUGCUCUUGCAUUGAGAGAUGACAGUAGCUCGGCCUCUUAGAGCAGUAUGACGAUGGCACAAGUUACUAUUUGCCAAGCACAGAGCAUGACGUCAUGCCCAGAAGCCCAGGAUACAAUCCAGAGACAAUGACAAAUGGGGGAUUCCCGCUUCUGCAGAAGGUGGGGCGACUGGUGCCCAGGGGCCCCCAGGAAGUGCCCUUACCUGACUCCCAGGAUCCUCCUCUGUGACCCUGGGGCCUUCCAACCUGCCAGGUACUUUUCCUGUAUUAUCUUAUUUUAUCCUCCCAAUAGCCUCUGUGAGCAGCACACUCCCCAUUUCACAGACAAGGAAACUGAGGCUUACACAAGUGAAGUGACCUGCUCGACGUUGCACAAGGAAGUGGCAAAGUCAGCCUCUGAAUCCAAGCCGUUGGGCUCUAAAGGCCCUGAUGCCACUCAGCUAACCAUGUGGCCUCUGGACAUCACUGCCAUCUUUUCUCUUACCCUCCUCUCCUCCUUGCACUGUGUUCUGAGGGUCAGCCUGACAACCCGUGUCCCCUGGGCAGAUGUGCAGAGGAAGAUCAAGUUGUUGUUCGCCAGGGGCCGAGGGCAAAUUUCUGGCUUCCCACGGCCACCACUUACUGGGAGUUUCGGAUGAGGUGCUUCACUGCCCUGAGCUCUUCUUCCGGGUCAAGUGGGGAUAAAAAUAAAACAAUACCCACCUUGUGGGAAGACAUGGGAUCCUGAAAAACCUGGCAACGUGCCUGGCACAUGGCAAGUACUCCGUAAAUGUCAGCUAGGAUUAUUUUUAUCAUUGACACCAUAUUUGGGGGCCCCAGGCUGGCAGAGUACCUGCCAGGUGUCACCCCCUUCCUGAGUCCUGACAGUUUGGCUGCAGGCCUGCGUGGAGGCUUGGAAGGAAGAAGGGAGGAAAGGAGGAAAGGAGGAAAGGAGGAAGGGGUCAGGGAAGCCCCUCUGUUUGUUUUCUGUCUCUGAGAACUUCCCAGUCUGACUCUAGCCCCUUCCCCUCCCUGCAGGCACUAACACACAAGUCCCCCAUUCACCAGAAAUCUGUCCCAGGCUCCCUGGCUGCCAUGCUCCCUGGAUAAACCCACCAGGAUGCCCUCAGCCCCUGAGGGAAGAGGAGAGAGCUUACACUCCUCCGGGCCCCUAUUUCCACGCCCAUCACCAGGCCUGGGCCCUCACAAGGCUACACACACACCAGGAAGUGCCAGGAACACAGCCACGCCAGAGCUCUCACAGAUGCCUGUGCACACACACACACACACACACACACCUUUCCAGGCAAACUUGCAUACACUUUCCUAAUGGCCAGGUCUCAGGGGCUCUGUAGGGACCACCUCGGGACAGGACAUGGUCUUCCCUCCCCCAUUCCCAUUCCCCUUCCUGCCCUGUUUCCCUCUGUCUGUCCAUCCAUCUUCAUCAACCAGUCCCAGUGGGCCCCUGCUCACUCCCUCCGUUCCCCCUCCAUCCGUCCGUCCACACAUGGGUCCAUCUGUCUGUCGCCUGCCUGUAGCUAGCCCUGCAGUGAGCAGUCUAUCCCUACCCAGCCCUGCCCAUCACUUCUGCCACAACACCCCUGCAAGAUCCUGUCCCUGUCCUCAGCAGGGUCUCUCAUCAUUUCUCUAGAACCCACCCAUCUAUCCCCCCACCCCUUCAGCUGUGUCCUUCAUCUGUCAAUCUGUCCAUCCAUCCAGCCAUCCAUCCAUCCAUCCAUCCAUCCAUCCAUCCAUCCAGCCAUCCAUCCAUCCAUCCAGCCAUCCAUCCAUCCAUCCAGCCAUCCAUCCUUCCUUCCUUCCUUCUUCCUUCCUUCCCACCUUGGCCCAGCCCCUCUCAGCCCCCUCUGCAUCCCAUCCAUCACUUCUCAGACAGGCCUCCCCAGCCAGGUAGUCACCUCCUAGCGGCUCCAUCUGUCUGUCUGUCUACCAACCCAUCCAUCCAUCUGUCUGCCAGCCCAUCCAUCAUGCCACAGGCCACUUGUCCAUUCUUGCCACCUUUCACAUGUUCCCUAGUUAGGCCCCUGUGGUAUCCCCCAGCCAGCGCAGUGUAGGUGGGGGGCGUGUGUUCAUGUCAGUAGAUAUGUCUGUGGCCGCCAGCAUGCCUUGUGCUGAGCAGAGGGCAAGGGACCUGGAUGAGGAGCUGGGGAGGGGUUGGGGACAGGAAGACUGGGAACCUCUUGGUGGGGGGCACAGCAGCUUCCCUGUGUAUUCUCCCUGUGGUCUGUUGCACCAUAGGCAUCAAUGGCCUGCUCAAAAAUAAAUACACGACUGGAAAACUCUCCCACCUCCAUUCUUUUUCCUUUUUGGGGGGGUGGUGGGGACAGAGUCUUGCUUUGUCCUCCAGGCUGGAGUGCAGUGGCACGAUCUCAGCCCACUGCAACCUCCACCUCCUGAGUUCAAGCAGUUCUCCUGUCUCAGCCUCCCAAGUUGCUGGGAUUACAGGCCUGCGCCACCACGCCUGGCUAAUUUUUGUUUUUUGGUUUUGUUUUUUCUUUUCCGGGAUGGAGUCUUGCUCUGUCACCCAGGCUGGAGUGCAAUGGCCGGAUCUUGGCUCACUACAACCUCCGCCUCCCGGAUUCAAGUGAUUCUCCUGCCUCAGCCUCCCAAGUAGCUGGUAUUACAGGCACGCGCCACCACGCCUGGUUAAUUUUUGUAUUUUUAGCAGAGAUGGGGUUUCACCAUUUUGGCCAGGCUGGUCUCGAACUCCUGACCUCAGGUGAUCCACCUGCCUCUGCCUCCCAAAAUGCUGGGAUUACCGGCAUGAGCCACUGUGCCCGGCUUCCGUUCUUCCUGAUUACUUAAGAGGGGCCUGACUAAUGCCCAGCAUGGUUGGGGACCCAGGCCCCUCAAGCCCUGGAAGUCCCUUGCCUGGGGUCAUCCAGUCUCCUCCCUCAAAGGGCUCUCACUCCCCACCGCCGCUCCCUCUCCUCUUCCUGCUGCUGAGAGACGAGAGACCAGCAGAAAGAGACUUGGAGAGACGGAGACACAGAGGCAGAUGGAGAAUGCUGGGCGCCCGGGAAAGCCCAGGAAGGAGCCCGGGCCACGUGGAGGAGAGGCAGGUGGGAGGAGGCAGGAGAGAGCAAGGCUGCCCAGGACAAUGGAGCGGGACCGGAGGAGACGCGGGGAGGGACGCGGGCCAGGGGUGCGGUGGGGGGCACGGGGUGGAACUCCGGGUCCCGUAGGGCGGGGUGGGGGAGUGGGUGGGGGGAUGGCCCACCUGCCGUGGGAGCGGGUCCGGAGGAAGCUAGGGUCUCGGGGUGGGAAGUGCUGUGUAGAAGCGAGCGCAAGAGGCGAGAGGAAGCGCGGCGGGGCGGCCCCUGUCCCAGCCUCACCCCCAUCCCCCCAAGUCUCGCACCCCGGUCCGCCCCAGCUUCCGGCUCCGCAGGUGCCGCCUUUGAGGGCCGCCGCUCGCAGUUUACCGCGGAGCCGGAGCCAGAGCCCCUUCCCCGCGGCGAGGAACUGCCUCUGCGUCUCGUAAAAGGGGUCUGGGCCUGGGGGGCGGCGGCCUCCGUCGCCAUGGAAACCGGGGCGGGGAGGCGGCGGCCCGGAGAGCCCCAUGCACUUUGCAUACCAUUGCAGGUUCCUCCCCUUGGGCCCCGCCAGCCUCGCUGGGCCCGCCUCUCUCUCCGCCCCUCCUCCCCAAACCCAUCACCCUUGCCUUUAUUUGUCUUAAAUUUAUUUUAAAAUGUAUUUAUUUAUUUUUUUCAAACAGGAUCUCGCUCUGUCACCCAGGCCAGAGUGCAGUGGUGCGAUCAUGACUCUCUACAGCCUUCCAUCUCCCCAGGCUCAGGUGAUCCUCCCACCCCAGUUUCCCAAUAGCUGGGACCACCACGCCUGGCUAAUUUUGUGUGUGUGUGUGGUGAUGUCGCCCUCUGUCACCCAGGCUGGAGUGCCGUGGCCAGAUCUUGGCCCACUGCAACCUCCGCCUCCCAGGUUCAAGCAAUUCUCCUGCCUUAGCCUCCUGAGUAGCUGGGAUUACAGGCGCGUGCCAUCACACCCGGCUAAUUUUUUUGGUAUUUUUAGUAGAGACGGGGUUUCACCACGUUGACCAGGCUGAUCUCAAACUCCUGACCUCGUGAUCUGCCUGCCUCAGCCUCCCAAAGUGCUGAGAUUACAGGCGUGAGCCACCGUGCCUGGCAAUGCCCGGCAAUUUUUGUAUUAUAGAGACAGGGUCUUGCCAUGUUGCCCAGGCUGGUGUUAAACUCCUGGACUCAAACAACCUGCCCACCUCCGCCUCCCAAAGUGUUAGGAUUACAGGCAUGAGCCACUGCACUCGGCCACCCCUGCCUUUAAAAGUCACCUCCUCCAGGAAGCUUUCAGCCACCACCACCACGCCCGGUGGCACCACUGACACUUCAUAACAAUAAUAAUUCAUCAUCACUGUGAUCGUGGCUAGGCUUGGCUGAGCUUUGUCUCUGUGCUUCCUUCACCCCCAUCUUCUUCUGUCCUCAUACCAACCCUGUAUGGAGAGGCCACUUUUGUCGAUAUUUACAAAUGAGAAAACUAAAGCUGGUAGGGGGUCUGCUCAAGGUCUCACACCUGGAAAAUUCCCUCCUCAUUCUAGUCUCAGUGUUCUCAUUUGUAAAAAGGGAAGCUCGCACCAGGCGCUUGCCGAGUGACCACGCAAGGGUGGGAAUGAGACCGCAGGUUUGUCUGAGCAGGGGCUGAGUGUGGCAUUCUGACUCUGAAGGCCUGUAGUCAGGGUAUGCAUGCUCUAGUUCACCUCAGCCCGGCUGCGUCACACCCCCACUCUGUCCCCCAGUGCAUCCCCACCCUUGGGACCCUAAGUGAAUCUCUCCAGACCAAGCUCCUAGUGACUCAAGAGACAUCUCUAAGGGGUCUUCCAGCUCUGCCAUUCUGAAGUCUUAGCUUAUUGAGAGGGUGACUCCUUGUGCUGUCUCCCUCCUCUGACUGGAUGCUCCUGGGGGUGAGGGGCUGUGCCUCUCCUGUCAGACGGGACACUGCUAAGGGUUAGGACACCUCUGUCACUCCCCUAGGUCUGUGGUCACUAGAAAUGCCCAAAUCCAGGCUGAAGGCUGACCAUGUCUCUCCAAGCACAAGCACACCCCAAGGUGCCCCAGUCCCUUGUCCUGAUCCUGAGAUCUGAGGUCUACAGGACUGGGUUCUUGGUGGGGAAACCUCCAGCUCUGCCAUAAAAAGAAAGCCUCAUCCCAGACCUUCAGACCCGUUCCAGCACAGGCUCAGAAGAGGAGAAAUGGGCCCAGAGACAACUUCCAGGG
rnacentral:lncRNA from 1 species